UUGAAAUUUUCUAUUGUGUCACCUUGCAUUUAGAAUUUUCUAUGUUUAAUAUUCGGAACCAUGAACUGACCGUUCCUAGCGCAAGUGGCAAAAGGGCUUGGUGGUUGAUACCCGAGACCCAAAUUCGAAUCCUAGUUAAUUCACAUUUCCAGUUAAGUUUAUUUCUAAAUUAAAUAAACGAAACGGGUAGCGUGCUACCUACCUCUCAAAAAAAAAAAUUUCGGAUCCAUGAAUACUUAUAAAUUUUCUAUUUUGAUUUUUCUCUUUUAUUUGCAAUUAUUUCAUUU
rnacentral:lncRNA from 1 species